rnacentral:rRNA from 1 species
ACGAACGCUGGCGGCGUGCUUAACGCAUGCAAGUCGAACGGAAAGGACCUGCUUUUGUGGGGUGCUCGAGUGGCGAACGGGUGAGUAACACGUGAGUAACCUGCCCUUGACUUUGGGAUAACUUCAGGAAACUGGGGCUAAUACCGGAUAGGAGCUCCUGCUGCAUGGUGGGGGUUGGAAAGUUUCGGCGGUUGGGGAUGGACUCGCGGCUUAUCAGCUUGUUGGUGGGGUAGUGGCUUACCAAGGCUUUGACGGGUAGCCGGCCUGAGAGGGUGACCGGCCACAUUGGGACUGAGAUACGGCCCAGACUCCUACGGGAGGCAGCAGUGGGGAAUAUUGCACAAUGGGCGGAAGCCUGAUGCAGCAACGCCGCGUGCGGGAUGACGGCCUUCGGGUUGUAAACCGCUUUCGCCUGUGACGAAGCGUGAGUGACGGUAAUGGGUAAAGAAGCACCGGCUAACUACGUG